ACCCAUCAGCCAUUUGUCUCUGACUUC
rnacentral:piRNA from 1 species